AGACAAAGAAACAAGAAGAACAGAAUAGAAACAGAGAAAGAGACGAAAAACAGGGGAAGAAAAAGGGAAAGAAAAAGAAAAGGGGAAAUUAAGAUUUUAAAGCUUCAAGUUAAUUGGUAAGCUAAAUUUAGCCAUUUUCUCUUCAUUUUGAUGUUUUAGAAGCUUUAAAAUAAAGUUUUGUUGAAAUUAAGUGGAGGUUAUGGAAGUUCAUAGGUUUUUGAACAUGAUUCAUUUUAAACAAGUUGUUAAAUUAGGGGUUUAGUUGAUAGAAUUUCUAGUUAGAAUAGAUAAAAAGAUUGAUUUGUAAACUAAGUUGUAAGUUUUACAUAGUUGGGAUUAAGUUAUAAAAAGCCUUAAAUUAGGGUUUAUGUUGAAUAAAUGAGGGAAUUGAGGGUUUAUUUGAUAGAGUUUCUAGUUAGAGUUGAUAAAAUGAUUAAAUUGUGAACUAAACUAUAAGUUUUGAAUUUUAGGGAUUAAAUUGAGGAAAAUUCGAAAUUAGUGAAAAAAAUGCUGAAAAAUUAGUAGAUAAAUUUGAGUUUAGAAGAAAUUUGAGUAGAAAUAGAGUGUGAAUUAAGUUAGAAAAAUAUAAUAAUAAUAAGUAAGCUUAGUUAAAAUUAAAUUGGGAAUAAGUAGGAAUUGAAUAAAAUUUAAUUAUUAUUAUUAUUAUUAUUAAUGAUUGUAAUUAAUAGUGAAAAUAAUUAUUAUUUUCGUAGCUAACAAGGAAAACGAGGCAUCGGCAUCCAAAGGAAAAGAAAAGAUCGUUGAGGAGUAAACGCGUAUUCCGGGUUUGUAUUACUAUAACUUAAUCUAUUUAAUAAAUGCUAAAUUGAAAUUGUAUUCAUGAGGCAUUUAAAGUAAGGUAAGUGAUAACAUUUGAAAUUAAGUAAGAAUAUGUGUAAAUAUUGAAAUAUAUGUGAAUUGAAAUAAUAGAUGUUUUGAAUUGUUUGAGUAUUUGAGAUUGUUGUGGAAAUGAAUUCGAAAUUGGAAAAGUAAAAUAAUACCCUAUUAAUUUAUCGGACUAGAUUGGAUACAAAUGGCAUGCCAUUGGAUUUGUGAUGUGAUGAUGAGAUUUGUAGUUCGGCCGAGAAGAUGAUUAUAUUAUUAUAUGCUUCGGUUUAUCCGAAGAGGCAUUUAAUGCCUUAUUGGUGUGUUAGGGAGGAUAUGAUACAUUGGUGUGUUAUGGAGGAUUUAAAUAAUUCCGGGUGUGUUUAGGUUGGAUAAUCUGGUGUGUUUGGGUGGAAUCCGCGUAUCUGUCAGAGUCCGAGCUUUGUUAAUAAGGUAAAUAAUUGAAAUGAAAAUUUGAAAAUGAAAUUGGUUGAUUUGACACUAUAGAAAAAUACGAGAAAGAAUGUAUGAGUUAAAUUAUAAAUUUAAUUAGUAUGUAAAUAUAUAUAUAUAAAUUUAAGAUCUAUGGAAUGAUAUAUGAAUAUGUAUAUUUAAUUUAAAGUGAUUUAUAAGAUUAUGGUCAAUAUUUGAAAUUUUAUUAUUAAAUAGUUUAAUUUAUAGUAAUACCACUGAGUAUGAAAUACUCAGCGUACGGUUGUUUCCGUGCGCAGGUUGUAGAAGUCAAGUACUGAAUCAGCAUCCAAAACCAGACCCGACUUCAGCAAAUUUUGGUGAUGUAUAUUUUCUUUUAGAAUGUGGCAUGUACAUAGGAUGUGUAUAAACAUUAUUAUGUUUUGAAUAUAAAUAGCUAAAAAUGUUAGUAUUAUAAAUCUAAGAAUUUUAAUGAAAGAAAUUUAUCCAUUCCAAAUUAAUUAGUACAUUGAUAAAUUUAAAUUGAUAUUGAAUUAAUUGAGUUUGAUUAGAAUGCAUUUAAAAUAGAAAAUAAGAAUGUGAAAUGAAUUGGUUGAAUUGGCUGAAUUGGUUAUGUUUGUAAAAAUUUAUGGUUUUAUUUGCAGGAGGUUUAGUGUAAAAGUAAGCAGAAAUGUUGCCGAAAUUUUUAUAAAAAAAAAUCAAUUUGUAAUUUUUAUAUGAAUUUAUGAUUUUAUCUUAAUAUGUUUGAUAUUUAUUUAAGAAUUAUUGUAAAUUAUCAGAUAUGUCCAGUAAUGCCUCGUAACCCUAUUCCGGUGAUGGUUUGGGGUUAGGGGGUGUUACAUUAAGUGCUUAAAUCAUUAGAUUUUAUGCCUUGUAUGUAUGAUUAUACUGGAAACAUUGCAUGGUGGAUCCAUUAGAUAUAGUUGACAUGCCAUAGGAUUUGUGAGUACUCACCAUUAUUUGUGAUAUUGUGAGCAUAUGGCUCUUGGUGGACUGAUUUGUUAGGAGUAGAUAAGGGUGUGUUGAGCUUCAGUCUCCACUCAUUGGGUUAUUUGAGGAGCUAUAAGGGAGCGUGUGGCUUUAGCCCGCUCAAUGCGAAGAACUAUAUUUGAUUUGUGGGAGUUCGGAGAUUCGUUUAUCCAAUGUAUGAUCACACGUUCACUUAUUGACAUGUAUGUAUUAUGUCAAUAUAAUUGAUUGAUUGUGCCAAUAUAAUUGAAUGUUUAUAUGUUAAAAGAUGAUUUUACAUGCCAUGGAAAAAUUAAUUCUUAAUUCUUGAAAUAGCAUGUGAUGUUAUGUUGAAAUGUUAACAUGUUGUAACUGAAAAUUUAAUACUUAAUUGCUUUGAUUUAUGCAUGAUUUGGUGCAAAUUACUUGAUGUUUUUACAAUCAUUCACUGAGUUUUUUAAGCUCACGCCCUCACACUUCCUGCAGAGAAUUUCCGGGUGGAAGGAAUCAAGAAGCGAGUGCAAGGGCGAUCCAAGAAUAAGGCACGGUAGUGACUUAAGAAAUUUAAUUUAGAGACUAUAUAGGGGCAUUUUGAUGCUUUUGGGACUAGUGUUAUUUUACUUGUAAUGGAUAUUGGACAUUAAAUUUUGGAAUUUAAUUUUGGUGAUUUUAUAAUUGCUUUAAUACAUG
rnacentral:lncRNA from 1 species